rnacentral:misc_RNA from 1 species
GAUGAAGAACGUAGUGAAAUGCGAUAAGUAGUGUGAAUUGCAGAAUUCAGUGAAUCAUCGAAUCUUUGAACGCACAUUGCGCCCCUUGGUAUUCCAUGGGGCAUGCCUGUUCGAGCGUCAUUUGUACCUUCAAGCUUUGCUUGGUGUUGGGUGUUUGUCUCGCCUUUGCGUGUAGACUCGCCUUAAAAUAGUUGGCAGCCGGCGUAUUGAUUUCGGAGCGCAGUACAUCUCGCGCUUUGCACUCAUAACGACAGCGUCCAAAAGUACAUUUUACACUCUUGACCUCGGAUCAGGUAGGGAUACCCGCUGAACUUAAGCAUAUCAAUAAGCGGAGGA